CAGAAACUAGAAAAGCCACUGAUUCGCCUGUAGCACGCACACUUCUAUCAUCUGCAAGCAAGCAAUUAUUUUGCUUGCAUUUUUUCUCUUGACAUCUGCCUCAGCAUCCAGCAUCUAACACGAGCACAAUGAAGAAUAUUAACGCAUAAUGUGAAGGUCUGCCGUGAAGAUGCUGGAGCAGCCUCCUCUCCAUCUUAGGAGGCACGAGGCAGACAUGUCUUAUGAACUCUUGCCGCCCCAGCCACACAUUCGGGGGCACACACCAUGGCUGGGGCGGCGACACAAGAGGGCAAGUCGCCCAAUUAAAUGUGUGGUCGACAUCGUGAUGGUUCCAUCUGGAAAGUGCAAAGAAAUGAAAGUGCUUCUGUUCAGUGUCCUUCGACCUCUCCCCACGUGCAAGAAGCGUUUUACUUCGAGUUACACAAAGCAUCACAGAAGCGAUACCUGCCAUUCCAUCAGUGCUCCCAACAUUCGUCGCUCGUUCCACUCCCCCGCUCGUCUCGCUGGCCGUUGGAGCAGGCUGUCGCAAUCCCCUGACCACCGGAAGGUCCCCACGACCAUAACCCACUGACGUUUUGAUACCCCUACCCGCAGCCCAUCAGCGGGGCGGAAAGAGCCUGGGGGACAGGGCAAACAUCCUUGAAGGACCAUCAUCAAGCCAACGGAGAAGAAUAAGCACGAAUACCAACAUCUGUACUUUCUGACACUCCUUAAUGUCUUAGCUGUCUGCUGGAAAUACAAAGACUUGUUACUUCCAAAGAGCAAAAUUUUACUACUUUUCAAUAACAUAAUUUUGCCACCAUGAUAGAGCCACUUGUGCACCAAGACUUUAGCCCGAAUAUCAAAACACUAUUCUGGAGGUAACACAGAAAAUGUUGUCAUCGAUUUCGAUCUUUCCAAAAGAGGCACCACCACUCUCAAAGUAGGAGCAUCGAUGAACCAUCGACCAACUCUCUCUUUCUUUAAGUUCAUCUUCCGAAAAAACAUUUUAUGUCAUGAAAAGCACAGUGGCGAAAGGACUUUACAUAAAAAAGCUAAAAAUUUAAUUUCAAACAAAGACAUUCCUAUAAUGAUCCGGAAUGUCUUUUUAAGCGAAAAGUUUAUGAAAAGAUACCUAUAAAAAACACGAACAGUCUAGUCUCUUGUAACAUCUUUGCAGACUCUGGUACAUUUAGUAAUAAAGUAGCCAUUAAGGAUUGUAAUUUAAUUUCAAACAAAGACAUUCCUAUGAUGAAUCUCGGGUGUCCUUUUAAACGAAAAGUUUAUGAAAAGAUACCCAUAAAAAAUACGAACAGCCUAGUGUCUUGUAACAUCUUUGCAGACUCUGGUAAAUUAGCAAGAAAGAAGGCCGACUUAUAUAGGCAUUAAGGAUUGUACAGGUCACAAGUCGGCAAGUCCCCUGUGUAACUUGUUAUCCCCUGAUAUCGUCUCUAGGUUACCUUCGAUCGAUGUGUACAAAGUCUAAGCUUCGAUUAUCAAAUGAGGACUGAUUUUUCCAGAUGUAGGUGACUCACUAGAAAGCAGCAGGCAAACGGACAUCAAGGUGUCCUCUUGUUCCUAAAUUGAUGUUUAAAAACACCUGUGAUGACACAGUUGAGAACGAUGUGUCCUUUAAAGCUAUUCUUACUCUCUUUGUUUCAAAACAGAAAAAAACAACAAAGCGAUGAUAGUAAAGUAAUUUAUGAAGCUAAACCAUUCACCUUAAGAAAACAUUUUUAUGUAUACCGAUCUAUCGCUUGUAUAGAUAAACAAAGCUACAAUCAUGACUACGUGUCUUAAGUUACAUCAACUUAUUUAAUGGUUCAGCUAAAGCAUUUGCCUAAUUAUUCAGCUGCAUAAAAUAGUGUUUAGCAAAGUGUCCAGCUGCAUAAAGUAUUUCUUAACAAAUUGUUAAGCUAAUAAGCUAAAUAAAAUAAAUCAGUCCUUUAGAAGCCAUUUUUAGGACAAGUGCAAAGAAACCGAUUUUGGUUGUUUUUGUUCCAAAAUCUGAAAAGGCUGGGAAAGGAGACGAUGCAGUUUAACAGCGAUAAUGGGGAAGUUUUAUUUCUCUUCUUAAUAGAUAAUGAUCUAUUAUUAUUAUUAUUCAUAAUAAAUAAUCUUCCUUGAAUUCUUUCUUUAUAAAUGCAAUAAACUCUUCUGAUCUAUGAC